GAAAACACUUUUUUUUACAUCUGGCCAGUCUUUCAGUGGUAAUGUCGUUACACUUUAAUACGAACUUAGGUUAAGCAUAAAGUGUUUUUUUAGCUUGUUUUUUAUAAUUUUGUAAACAAAAAGUAGUUAUUUAAUUAGAUUAAGCGGAAAGUGAUAAAGUUUUAUGUUUUGUUAUAAAAUUCCUUACGAUUUGUGAAUGCUUUAUUAUAUACGAAACAUUUGAAACAAUUCACACUUGGAUUCUAAAACUGUUAAUGAGCUAUAUGAAUAAUACGGUAAACUUAACUUAUACGUAACGGAAACGUAUUUUAACGAUUGAUUUUCAUCACUACAAUAUUGGAGGAGAGUUCUGGGUUCCCGAUUGGCGUCUAUUGGGAGCACGUUUCUGGUCAGAAAUCAUAUUCGGCAUUGGUCUAAAUGUAUGAACAAAUGGAAAAGUACUUUCGGCUCAUAAACUUAAGCCUCUCCAACGGAUUUCGUAAAGCAAUAUAACAUUAUUUCCACUUCACUUCACUAAAGGAUGUCGACGAGCAAUAUCAUUUAUAGGAGCUAUACACGUACUGCACUCGAAGAAAGCUAUGUAAAGGUGCGGGUCUCGCAUAAGAAUGUUUUAAUUUUCAAUAAUUCUACACCGAUUGAUCUGUUAUAUGGAUUGACUAUUCUUAUAUAUUUUGAUAAUACAAAUGCCUGUAUAUUUUGAUACUAUAGUACAUAAA